GACGAACGCUGGCGGCGUGCUUAACACAUGCAAGUCGAACGGAAAGGCCCUUCGGGGUACUCGAGUGGCGAACGGGUGAGUAACACGUGGGUGAUCUGCCCUGCACUUUGGGAUAAGCCUGGGAAACUGGGUCUAAUACCGAAUAGGACCACGCGCUUCAUGGUGUGUGGUGGAAAGCUUUUGCGGUGUGGGAUGGGCCCGCGGCCUAUCAGCUUGUUGGUGGGGUAAUGGCCUACCAAGGCGACGACGGGUAGCCGGCCUGAGAGGGUGACCGGCCACACUGGGACUGAGAUACGGCCCAGACUCCUACGGGAGGCAGCAGUGGGGAAUAUUGCACAAUGGGCGCAAGCCUGAUGCAGCGACGCCGCGUGAGGGAUGACGGCCUUCGGGUUGUAAACCUCUUUCGCCAGGGACGAAGCGCAAGUGACGGUACCUGGAGAAGAAGGACCGGCCAACUACGUGCCAGCAGCCGCGGUAAUACGUAGGGUCCGAGCGUUGUCCGGAAUUACUGGGCGUAAAGAGCUCGUAGGUGGUUUGUCGCGUUGUUCGUGAAAACUCACAACUCAAUUGUGGGCGUGCGGGCGAUACGGGCAGACUGGAGUACUGCAGGGGAGACUGGAAUUCCUGGUGUAGCGGUGGAAUGCGCAGAUAUCAGGAGGAACACCGGUGGCGAAGGCGGGUCUCUGGGCAGUAACUGACGCUGAGGAGCGAAAGCGUGGGGAGCGAACAGGAUUAGAUACCCUGGUAGUCCACGCCGUAAACGGUGGGUACUAGGUGUGGGUUUCCUUCCUUGGGAUCCGUGCCGUAGCUAACGCAUUAAGUACCCCGCCUGGGGAGUACGGCCGCAAGGCUAAAACUCAAAGGAAUUGACGGGGGCCCGCACAAGCGGCGGAGCAUGUGGAUUAAUUCGAUGCAACGCGAAGAACCUUACCUGGGUUUGACAUGCACAGGACGUGCCUAGAGAUAGGUAUUCCCUUGUGGUCUGUGUGCAGGUGGUGCAUGGCUGUCGUCAGCUCGUGUCGUGAGAUGUUGGGUUAAGUCCCGCAACGAGCGCAACCCUUGUCUCAUGUUGCCAGCACAUUAUGGUGGGGACUCGUGAGAGACUGCCGGGGUCAACUCGGAGGAAGGUGGGGAUGACGUCAAGUCAUCAUGCCCCUUAUGUCCAGGGCUUCACACAUGCUACAAUGGCCGGUACAAAGGGCUGCGAUGCCGUGAGGUGGAGCGAAUCCUUUCAAAGCCGGUCUCAGUUCGGAUCGGGGUCUGCAACUCGACCCCGUGAAGUCGGAGUCGCUAGUAAUCGCAGAUCAGCAACGCUGCGGUGAAUACGUUCCCGGGCCU
rnacentral:rRNA from 1 species